GAACUUGGCAGAGAUGCCUUGGUGCCUUCGGGAACGCUGAGACAGGUGCUGCAUGGCUGUCGUCAGCUCGUGUUGUGAAAUGUUGGGUUAAGUCCCGCAACGAGCGCAACCCUUAUCCUUUGUUGCCAGCGAUUCGGUCGGGAACUCAAAGGAGACUGCCGGUGAUAAACCGGAGGAAGGUGGGGAUGACGUCAAGUCAUCAUGGCCCUUACGAGUAGGGCUACACACGUGCUACAAUGGCGCAUACAAAGAGAAGCGACCUCGCGAGAGCAAGCGGACCUCAUAAAGUGCGUCGUAGUCCGGAUCGGAGUCUGCAACUCGACUCCGUGAAGUCGGAAUCGCUAGUAAUCGUGGAUCAGAAUGCCACGGUGAAUACGUUCCCGGGCCUUGUACACACCGCCCGUCACACCAUGGGAGUGGGUUGCAAAAGAAGUAGGUAGCUUAACCCCCGGGAGGGCGCUUACCACUUUGUGAUUCAUGACUGGGGUGAAGUCGUAACAAGGUAACCGUAGGGGAACCUGCGGUUGGAUCACCUCCUUA
rnacentral:ncRNA from 1 species